rnacentral:rRNA from 1 species
CCUACGGGUGGCAGCAGUGGGGAAUAUUGGGCAAUGGGCGCAAGCCUGACCCAGCAACGCCGCGUGAGGGAAGAAGGCUUUCGGGUUGUAAACUUCUUUUAUCAGGGACGAAACUAGUGACGGUACCUGAUGAAUAAGCCACUGCUAACUACGUGCCAGCCACCGCGGUAAUACGUAGGUGGCAAGCGUUAUCCGGAUUUACUGGUUGUAAAGGGCGUGUAGGCGGGAAAGCAAGUCAGAUGUGAAAACCAUGGGAUCAACCUGUGGACUGCAUUUGAAACUGUUUUUCUUGAGUACUGGAGAGGCAGGCGGAAUUCCUGGUGUAGCGGUGAAAUGCGUAGAUAUUAGGAGGAACACCAGUGGCGAAGGCGGUCUGCUGGACUGCAACUGACGCUGAGGCGCGAAAGCGUGGGGAGCAAACAGGAUUAGAUACCCUUGUAGUC